rnacentral:rRNA from 1 species
GGGCGCACGGUGGAUGCCUUGGCACUAGAAGCCGAUGAAGGACGUUACUAACGACGAUAUGCUUUGGGGAGCUGUAAGUAAGCUUUGAUCCAGAGAUUUCCGAAUGGGGAAACCCAGCAUGAGUUAUGUCAUGUUAUCGAUAUGUGAAUACAUAGCAUAUCAGAAGGCACACCCGGAGAACUGAAACAUCUUAGUACCCGGAGGAAGAGAAAGAAAAUUCGAUUCCCUUAGUAGCGGCGAGCGAAACGGGAAGAGCCCAAACCAACAAGCUUGCUUGUUGGGGUUGUAGGACACUCUAUACGGAGUUACAAAGGACGACAUUAGACGAAUCAUCUGGAAAGAUGAAUCAAAGAAGGUAAUAAUCCUGUAGUCGAAAAUGUUGUCUCUCUUGAGUGGAUCCUGAGUACGACGGAGCACGUGAAAUUCCGUCGGAAUCUGGGAGGACCAUCUCCUAAGGCUAAAUACUCUCUAGUGACCGAUAGUGAACCAGUACCGUGAGGGAAAGGUGAAAAGCACCCCGGAAGGGGAGUGAAAUAGAACCUGAAACCGUGUGCUUACAAGUAGUCAGAGCCCGUUAAUGGGUGAUGGCGUGCCUUUUGUAGAAUGAACCGGCGAGUUACGAUUUGAUGCAAGGUUAAGCAGUAAAUGUGGAGCCGUAGCGAAAGCGAGUCUGAAUAGGGCGUUUAGUAUUUGGUCGUAGACCCGAAACCAGGUGAUCUACCCUUGGUCAGGUUGAAGUUCAGGUAACACUGAAUGGAGGACCGAACCGACUUACGUUGAAAAGUGAGCGGAUGAACUGAGGGUAGCGGAGAAAUUCCAAUCGAACCUGGAGAUAGCUGGUUCUCUCCGAAAUAGCUUUAGGGCUAGCCUCAAGUGAUGAUUAUUGGAGGUAGAGCACUGUUUGGACGAGGGGCCCCUCUCGGGUUACCGAAUUCAGACAAACUCCGAAUGCCAAUUAAUUUAACUUGGGAGUCAGAACAUGGGUGAUAAGGUCCGUGUUCGAAAGGGAAACAGCCCAGACCACCAGCUAAGGUCCCAAAAUAUAUGUUAAGUGGAAAAGGAUGUGGCGUUGCCCAGACAACUAGGAUGUUGGCUUAGAAGCAGCCAUCAUUUAAAGAGUGCGUAAUAGCUCACUAGUCGAGUGACACUGCGCCGAAAAUGUACCGGGGCUAAACAUAUUACCGAAGCUGUGGAUUGUCCUUUGGACAAUGGUAGGAGAGCGUUCUAAGGGCGUUGAAGCAUGAUCGUAAGGACAUGUGGAGCGCUUAGAAGUGAGAAUGCCGGUGUGAGUAGCGAAAGACGGGUGAGAAUCCCGUCCACCGAUUGACUAAGGUUUCCAGAGGAAGGCUCGUCCGCUCUGGGUUAGUCGGGUCCUAAGCUGAGGCCGACAGGCGUAGGCGAUGGAUAACAGGUUGAUAUUCCUGUACCACCUAUAAUCGUUUUAAUCGAUGGGGGGACGCAGUAGGAUAGGCGAAGCGUGCGAUUGGAUUGCACGUCUAAGCAGUAAGGCUGAGUAUUAGGCAAAUCCGGUACUCAUUAAGGCUGAGCUGUGAUGGGGAGAAGACAUUGUGUCUUCGAGUCGUUGAUUUCACACUGCCGAGAAAAGCCUCUAGAUAGAAAAUAGGUGCCCGUACCGCAAACCGACACAGGUAGUCAAGAUGAGAAUUCUAAGGUGAGCGAGCGAACUCUCGUUAAGGAACUCGGCAAAAUGACCCCGUAACUUCGGGAGAAGGGGUGCUCUUUAGGGUUAACGCCCAGAAGAGCCGCAGUGAAUAGGCCCAAGCGACUGUUUAUCAAAAACACAGGUCUCUGCUAAACCGUAAGGUGAUGUAUAGGGGCUGACGCCUGCCCGGUGCUGGAAGGUUAAGAGGAGUGGUUAGCUUCUGCGAAGCUACGAAUCGAAGCCCCAGUAAACGGCGGCCGUAACUAUAACGGUCCUAAGGUAGCGAAAUUCCUUGUCGGGUAAGUUCCGACCCGCACGAAAGGCGUAACGAUUUGGGCACUGUCUCAACGAGAGACUCGGUGAAAUCA